UAAACGAUGCCACCAGCGAUCCGCCUGAGUUCUGCUUUUAAUCGACUCGGCGGGCAGCUUUCGGAAACCCAAAGUUUUUCGGUUCCGGGGGAAGUAUGGUUGCAAAGCUGAAACUUAAAGGAAUUGACGGAAGGGCACCACCAGGAGUGGAGCCUGCGGCUUAAUUUGACUCAACACGGGGAAACUCACCCGGCCCGGACACUGGAAGGAUUGACAGAUUGAGAGCUCUUUCUUGAUUCAGUGGGUGGUGGUGCAUGGCCGUUCUUAGUUGGUGGAGUGAUUUGUCUGGUUAAUUCCGAUAACGAACGAGACUCUAGCCUACUAAAUAGGUGGCGCGCGUUCUGUGUGACGUGUGGCAGCAUGACUGUGGCGCGAGCUGCUGUCAUAUGCUGCCUCACCGAUCCAGACUACCGCGUUUCGUCUGACUUCUUAGAGGGACUGGCGGUGUUUCAACCGCACGAAACGGAGCAAUAACAGGUCUGUGAUGCCCUUAGAUGUCCGGGGCCGCACGCGCGCUACACUGAAAAGAUCAGCGUGCAUCGAGUUUCAGCCUGCACCGAUAGGUGCGGGGAACCGCGUGAACCUUUUUCGUGAUUGGGAUAGGGGCUUGUAAUUGUUGCCCUUGAACGAGGAAUUCCCAGUAAGCGCGAUUCAUCCAGAUCGCGUUGAUUACGUCCCUGCCC
rnacentral:rRNA from 1 species